rfam:Salinicoccus halodurans strain H3B36, complete genome.
GAGCCAUUAGCUCAGUCGGUAGAGCAUCUGACUUUUAAUCAGAGGGUCAGAGGUUCGAAUCCUCUAUGGCUCA